rnacentral:misc_RNA from 1 species
GACCAUUGAAAUUUUUUUUUUCUAGAUUUGUGAACAUUUGCAUAUAUAUAAUAAAAAAUGUAGUUAAAAUUAUAUAAAAAAUUAACUAGUCGACUAAGCUUGCAAGUAUUCUAGUCAUCUUUUAAAAUAAUGUGAUUCAUUAAAAGUAAUCCUGAAAUUUAAUGAAAAAUGUUAAAAGAAUUGUGGAUUCAACUGGCUAAUUUAAAAUCUUAGUAGAUCUAAAAGGCUAACAAUCCACGCAUGUUUUUCCACUUAUUAUUAUUAUUAUUAUUGUUA